UACGUAGGGGGCAAGCGUUGUCCGGAAUCAUUGGGCGUAAAGAGCGUGUAGGCGGCUCGGUAAGUCCGCUGUGAAAUCCCCGAGCUCAACUUGGGAAUUGCAGUGGAUACUGGCAAGCUGGAGUAUGGUAGAGGAAGGUGGAAUUCCCGGUGUAGCAGUGAAAUGCGUAGAGAUCGGGAGGAACACCAGUGGCGAAGGCGGCCUUCUGGACCAAUACUGACGCUCAUGCACGAAAGCGUGGGGAGCAAACAGG
rnacentral:rRNA from 1 species